rnacentral:rRNA from 1 species
AGCGAACGCUGGCGGCAGGCUUAACACAUGCAAGUCGAACGGGCAUAGCAAUAUGUCAGUGGCAGACGGUUGAGUAACGCGGGGGAACGUACCUUUUGGUUCGGAACAACACAGGGAAACUUGUGCUAAUACCGGAUAAGCCCUUACGGGGAAAGAUUUAUCGCCGAAAGAUCGGCCGGCGUCUGAUUAGCUAGCUGGUAGGGUAAUGGACUACCAAGGCGACGAUCAUUAGCUGGUCUGAGAGGAUGAUCAGCCACAUUGACACUGAGACACGGCCCGAACUCCUACGGGAGGAAGCAGUGGCGAAUAUUGGACAAUGGGCGAAGGCCUGAUCCAGCCAUGCCGCGUGAGUGAUGAAAGCCCGAGAGUUGUAAAGCUCUUGUAUGCGGGAAGAUAAUGACGGUACCGAAAGAAAAAGCCCCGGCUAACUUCGUG